rnacentral:rRNA from 1 species
GACGAACGCUGACGGCGUGCUUAACACAUGCAAGUCGAACGGUGAAGCGCCUUCCUUUUUGGUGGGUGUGGAUGAGUGGCGAACGGGUGAGUAACACGUGAGUAACCUGCCCCCUUCUUCUGGAUAACCGCAUGAAAGUGUGGCUAAUACGGGAUAUUCUGGGUCUGUCGCAUGAUGGGUCUGGGAAAGAUAUUGUUUCGGUGGGGGAUGGGCUCGCGGCCUAUCAGCUUGUUGGUGGGGUGAUGGCCUACCAAGGCGGUGACGGGUAGCCGGCCUGAGAGGGUGGACGGCCACACUGGGAAUGAGACACGGACCAGACUCCGACGGGAGGCAGCAGUGGGGAAUAUGGCACAAUGGGCGCAAGCCUGAUGCAGCGACGCCGCGGGAGGGAUGGAGGCCUGCGGGUUGUGAACCUCUUUCGCCAGUGAAGCAGGCCUGCCUCGUUUGUGGGUGGGUUGACGGUAGCUGGAGAAGAAGCGCCGGCUAACUACGUG